AUGCAGCGGAAGUCUGUUAAAAUAAUUUCUGUCCUGGACUCUUUCACGCAUUGCUGGCUGGGCCUUCUGCCUUCCGGUCCACUCCUCAAGCAAGGACUCCUAGUCAUGUUUGGAGGCCAAGUUCCACAUUAUUUUUUUCCAUGUGAAUUACUCUACGGAGCUUCUCCAAAACUUUACUGCUACCCGUCUCUCGACCAGCUUUUCUACAAGCCUAACUGGAUCCUCCAGUGCCAAUUUUGCCAUCUACUCAGCAAGCAUUUGUAUCUGACUCUUGUGAAAACUUCCUGCAAUAAACAUGCAAGUGCAUGUGUCUCUUUGGUGACCUAUUUUCAUUUCCUUUGAGGGUCUGUAUACCUAUAUUGAUGUCUAUAUAGAUAUAAGUACCCAGAAGUAGGCCUGCUGGAGUCUUUGGUAGUUCUAGUUUUAAUUUGUUGAGGAAUCUCCAUGCUGUUUUCCAUUGCGGUAUUACACGAGAUACAAUACGGAAGCAACUUCAGUGUCCAUCAACAGAUGUGAACAGAGAAUGCAUAUGCGCAUGUGUGCGUAUCUACACAGCCCACAUACACACACACAUAGUAUCACACACACAUAUACAGUGUCCAUCUGUUAUACAACUUAAACUCACAGUAUUGUAUGUCAAAUAUAACCAAAAACCCCCAAAACUACCAAGUAUUUGAGGAGCCCCAUUGUUUGUCAAAUUCACUAAGUGAUAGUUGAGAAAAAAGAGAAAAAGAAGCAAUUACUGCAAAUACCAUCCACAGAAGUGCCGGUCGGGGACAAAGGGACAAUGGACUCGGAGUCAUGUCUCUAUAGACUGAGGAUGGUGAACUAGAGACAGCACAUCAGCCACCUCGCGCCCGAAGCUUGGCCAAGCGGGAUGGAAAGAGUGAAGGUGGGAGAAAGAGCACGGGAGGAAACAAACGAUAGACACAAAAUCACUAGAUGCAUCAGGGGACUGGCGGCCUGGACGUUAUCCCCGAGAAUACCUGUGCCCGCUGAGGGUGGAGCUGUCAGCAGAGGGGGUGGCUGCCAGGGGCGGGAGAGGCUAGGAAGAGCUGAGUCGGAACUGAGGAGUCACACGGCCAUCGGGUGGUCCGUCCACACCACUCGGAGCCAAAGCUCCUCUGGCAGCGCUGGG
rnacentral:lncRNA from 9 species